rnacentral:rRNA from 1 species
GUAGGGGGCGAGCGUUGUCCGGAUUCAUUGGGCGUAAAGAGCUCGUAGGCGGCUUGGCAAGUCGGAUGUGAAAACUCCAGGCUCAACCUGGAGCCGCCAUUCGAUACUGCUAUGGCUAGAGUCCGGUAGGGGAGUGUGGAAUUCCCGGUGUAGCGGUGAAAUGCGCAGAUAUCGGGAGGAACACCGAUGGCGAAGGCAGCACUCUGGGCCGGUACUGACGCUGAGGAGCGAAAGCGUGGGGAGCGAACAGG